AUGAUGAAGAAAAGAAGGAACAAUAAUUGUGCCAAAAAGAGCCGCGGCCACGUAUAGCCUAUUCGCUGCACAAACUGUGCCCUAUGUGUGCCCAAGGACAAACCCAUUAAGAAAUUCGUCUCUCGAAACAUAGUGGAGACCGCAGCAGUCAGGGACAUUUCUGAAGCGAGCGUCUUCGAUGUCUAUGUGCUUCCCGAGCUGUAUGUAAAGCUACGUUACUGUGUGAGUUGUGCAAUUCACAGCAAAGUAGUCAGGAAUCGAUCUCAUGAAGCCCGCAAGGACCGAACACCCCCACCCCGUUUAGACCUGCGGGUGCUGCCCCACAACUGCCAGCAAAGUCCAUGUAA
rnacentral:lncRNA from 1 species